GACGAACGCUGGCGGCAUGCCUAACACAUGCAAGUCGAACGGAGAUUAUUUCGGUAAUCUUAGUGGCGAACGGGUGAGUAACGCGUGGGCAACCUGCCCUCUAGAUGGGGACAACAUCCCGAAAGGGGUGCUAAUACCGAAUGUGACAGCAAUCUCGCAUGAGGAUGCUGUGAAAGAUGGCCUCUAUUUAUAAGCUAUCGCUAGAGGAUGGGCCUGCGUCUGAUUAGCUAGUUGGUGGGGUAACGGCCUACCAAGGCGAUGAUCAGUAGCCGGUCUGAGAGGAUGAACGGCCACAUUGGGACUGAGACACGGCCCAGACUCCUACGGGAGGCAGCAGUGGGGAAUCUUCCGCAAUGGGCGAAAGCCUGACGGAGCAAUGCCGCGUGAGUGAUGAAGGAAUUCGUUCCGUAAAGCUCUUUUGUUUAUGACGAAUGUGCAGAUUGUGAACAAUGAUCUGUAAUGACGGUAGUAAACGAAUAAACCACGGCUAACUACGUG
rnacentral:rRNA from 1 species